UACAGAGGGGGCAAGCGUUGUUCGGAAUUACUGGGCGUAAAGGGCGCGUAGGCGGCCCGCUAAGUCGAACGUGAAAUCCCCGAGCUCAACUCGGGAACUGCGUCCGAUACUGGUGGGCUUGAAUCCGGGAGAGGGAUGCGGAAUUCCAGGUGUAGCGGUGAAAUGCGUAGAUAUCUGGAGGAACACCGGUGGCGAAGGCGGCAUCCUGGACCGGCAUUGACGCUGAGGCGGCGAAAAGCUAGGGGAGCAACGGGG
rnacentral:rRNA from 1 species